ACAGCCUCUUUCUCAGCCAUCCUAGGGGCCUUACAUAUACUGAGCCUGACUGUUGUUGAGAUAGACCCACAGCUUGGGCAGAUAUUGGUAGGUGCUGAUGACACUCCUGUUCUUUAUAUCUAUGCCUUCGCCUCAUUUUCUAAAACAUGUUAUCUGAACUUUCCCUGAGGAGAUGAACAAAUGUCUUUUCACCUCAGAUAGGACACCAAUGACAAACCAAAGAAUAGAUUUCACUCAGGUCUAGCUUGGUACACGGAUGUGUUUAAUUAGGGUUACUUACAGGAACAUGGGCAGCAUAGAAGAAAAUGAAAAAAAAAAAGGAAGAAAAUGUCUCAUUCCCAACAACUGUUGACUAUCUACACCUUCUCAGGAAGGGAUGGGGUACCCAGGAACUAUCAACUGUCUGUCCAUCAAUCCCUGGGGAGAAGGACAGCCUCGUGAACCUCUCCUCCCCUCUGUGAGCAAAGUUACUGGAUCCAGUCUUAGGCAGGUCUUUCGUGGGUAACCACAGCUGCUCAGAGUUCACUAAGGCAAAGGCUGUAUCAUGUCUGGGUGCAGCAUAUCACAACGACUAGCUUACUCUUACAGCCACAAUUAGACUUUGGUACUAAAUCAACUGCCAGAUCUAGGAUUUAAGAUUUUCAAAGUUAACUGUUGGCAAAGUUUGUCUUUUAUUUUGCCCAGUGGAUGUGUACUGUGCUCGGUAAGGCCACUAGGAUUCUUUAGUCUAGGGAGACGUGUUUGGAUCUCUGUACUGAUGCCCACUUUCUCUUUUGCUGAGGUGAGAGGGGCUCACUCAUCAUUUUCAAGUGUUUUAACAAUUGGUAAUUAGCAAAGGAGGUCUUAAACUUUAUAUAUUAAAGAAAAGUGACUGGCCUUCACAACAGACACACACAAAACCCUGAUUCAUUUAAGGUGAUUCUCCCCUGCUGUAAACAGGAAGUGUAACAUGUACAUUUACAUAUGUACGCACAUCAGCCUUAGCAAUAGUACUGUGAAGGAGAUGAGGGUAGAUGGUUUUCUAGUUGUUUGACAAAUACACUCUCACACGGACAGGAAGGUAGCGCUGGGCAAAUCCUAUAACACUGGCUCCUCUGUCGUUCUGCUCUGGAAUUGGAGCACCAUUGUUUCUCCUGACCUGAUGUAAAUGCUGGACAGUGUAAUUUUCCUGCAAGCAUGUUUUACUAUUUAUUUCUCCCUCUUUCUUUCUUCAUGUCUGAGACUGUAUAAACUACUGGUAAUUGUGUUUGUUCUUAAGUUUAUGCUUGCUUUUUAUGAGAUAUUACAGAUUUUAGCCUUUGAAGAGACCAUUGGAAAGGAAGAACAUCUCUAAAAUGUAGAAUUAUAAAUAAUGCUGGGACACUUUGUUUGGAGUAAUGGUCACUGUAUAGUUGAUGUUGGUUCCCGAGAUGUGUUCCAGCCCCUUGUCCUGAGGUCUGACGUGACACAGGAGGAAGCAAAGGCUUCUCUGUGGCAGGCUGUGCUCAUCAACACCCACUGUUCUCCUGAGGUCCCAGGAAAGGCCCGAGCAGUGUCCUACCUUUCCAUUGAACUGCUUUAACUAGGAAAUGCCCUCACCUGGGUGUUAGGGCUGUGCCCGAUCAGCCCUUGACCUUACAUGGUCUAUCUUGGCUCAACUCUCAUGAAGGCAGGGAUAGGCUAUUUUGAAAUUAUGUUAACUCUCUGUUACCUCUUCUGUUCUAACUAAAAAAGCAAAACAAAAAACCACCUAUAAUUUCUUGUUAUUAGUGUCAACUAAUAACAUCUAGUGAGUGCUUAGGAAAUACAAUUUUAUUUUAAUUAAUCCUAAAUGUAAUGUAAUAAUGACGGAAAACCAGUAGAGAAAAAACAUAGAAUGAUUUUCGAAGGUACACCUAAUAAAUAAAUACUUAAUUCUGAAUUUACUUCCAUCAUUCCUUGUUUGUUUCCAAAUGGCAACAAUUUAGUUACUUGUGCUAAUCUGAAAAAACCAGAAUCAAGACUGUGAGUUUCUUUUCUGAUGGUAGGACCUGUGACAUUCUCUGAAUCGUGACAAUGUUUGAGUAAUGCCUGCUACGUGAAAGUGAUUCUCUUUAAAGGACACUGCCCUAUCAAUCCCUCUCCAUAGCUGCUUUUGUAUGGAACUCAGGCUCUACUCCGACUGGGGCUGCACCUUGGCUGUCUGUUAUUCCAUCAGGUACCCUCUUCUGCAGUUACUGCUCAGACAUGCAGCGUGUGCAUUUGGGGGUGGCACACAGUGGACCAGGAAAGGCUACGGAGCACUGUUGUACCGGUGCACGUAUUGUAAGGAAGUAGUUACAUCGCAACCACUUUGCUCUUUUAUAUUCCAGGCAACACACUGAUGAAUAUAAUUCAUAAUGAACAUAUUCAACAUUUUUUCCAUCAGUUCAAUACAUUAUUCAUACAGAUCAGAGAUGGGAAAGACUUAGUAGGUAGAUUAUGGAGUGCAGACCUCUUCUUUGCACUUUCUUUUUCUUCAAAUGUUGAUACUAGCUAAAAAACCAAAACCAAAACCUAAGCCAAAACCCACCCAUAAUUACAAAAUAAAAUAAAACAACAGAUAUAUAAGGAAAGCAGAAGGUUCAUAGGCUUUAUAAAUACAAAGGAGAAUUCAGAAGCCUGUAAUCUGGCCAGGCUGUGGGAGAGGGGAGUUUCUGUCUUUUCCUAGGUAGAAGGCUGAGUAUUGCUGACUCUUCACAAGACAGAGAGGCCAAGAGAGAGGAGUGCCACUUUCUGCUCCUGAGGUUGCAAUUCAUAAAGCCUGAGUUUUCCGCCAAGUGUUCACUGUCUGACUCUGCAACCUGGUGUGGAUUUAGGAUGCAGGUACUACAGAUAACUCUAGUUAGGACUCCAGGCACCGAUGAGAAUGAUGAAGAGAAGAUGUAUAAAUGAAUAGAGUUAAAACCACUAGAGGAUGCUCCCUGGGAUUAUCUGUACUAUCAAGAUAGGAAGACUCUGCAGAUGCUCCUGUCUCUCUAGAGGAAUAAAUGCAUGCAUUUUAAUAUUCCCAGCAGCUGGUUCCUGUUGAAUGCCAUCAGGAUGAUUCAGCCACCCACCAGGAACACCAGGAACAGCAAGUGCACACACAGAAAUCUGCAAAACUUUUUUCUUUUGAUGCCAACACUAUUACUCUGGCAAAGUCGAAAUCCUUCUUUGAAUUACCAGUUUCCCUAAAUGUGACCUUGUUUCCCUCACAACUAGCAGCUCACACUCACAUAACAGGAACGCUGGCAGAUUAAAAGGCAACAUUCUUCCUGACUUGAGCAUACCCUGACGUCAGCCCAUCCUUUGCAUGCCCACAUCAUCUACUUCGUUUUCAUUUUCUCACUGUUCAAUAACACCUUGAAGGACCAGCAUCCAUAUGCACUCAGUUUCCCCAGUAUGCUGCUCUCCCUACAUUCGAACCCUUGCAAUUAAUGUUAGUUCUAUCUCUGCCUUUAUAUACUUCAAUUAAAAAAUCAUUUUCAUGUUGUUAGUGUUUUUUUCCCUUUCACAAUAUGUGGUUACAUGUUUAAAAAAACAACAACGUAUAGGAAAACUAUAUUAACCAUAAACCUCAUUAAUAGAGAAUUACAAUGCCAUAUUUUGGACAAUUAAAACUUCCCUACUUGCCUCUUCAAAUUUAGCUACAAUUAGACCAUUAAGGGAAGAAAAUGCCAAAUAUGACAGCUAGAGUUCACUAAGCCUCACUGCUAUAUUUUCAGGUCUCUAAAGUAAAAUCUAGGGACAUUCAGCACAGAGUCAGGUGCUUUCAAUGGCCAUGAAAAUAUAUGGCUGAAGAGGGAAUCUAUAAAUGUAAUGAAUACACAAUUGGCUUAUAACAGAUGCAACCAAAAUUAUAUUCAAGAUCUUGACCUGCUCUCUGAAGUGAAAGUUUCUAUACCAACUUACAGACAGAGCUAUAACAAGAUCAUUAAUCACAUAAACCAUGAACACAAGCAGACACUUCUGGGGAUGCUGCAAAGAGCCAUCCUAAGUGGUUGAGGUUCUAUGGGGAACCUGAAAGCUAAUGUGGCACACAGAGUCCACAGUGAACAACACUGAUGUCUUUGAUGGCGUAUCUGGAGCCAGCACUGGCCAUGACCACCACUGUCCUAAACCUCCAGGAGAGAAUUGAAGAGGGUUGUGAAGGAGGAACAGGUACAAUAUGGGCUUGUAUAAGGAGAGCCUAUACAUUUUUUCAUCCAGAUCCUAUUACGUAAAAGUCAUUCUGUACACAGACAGAUAAAAUGCCGAACUCGAUUUAUGGCUUUAAGGAUUAUAUUAAUAGGGAAAAACCUAGAAGUAGGGCAAUAGUAGUGAUAGUACUAAUAAAUUUGAUAUUGAGUAGUAACCAUGGGCUACUCAUUAUGCUAAACACCUUAUAGAUGACAUUUCCUAGAAUAUAAUAUUUAUAUAUAUAAUAUAAUAUAAUAUAAUAUCCAAGCAAGGUGGCCAUUAUUUCCUGCUUACAAAGAUGAAAAUGAGGCUCAGUAAAAUUAUGUCCAUUGCCCCAAAUGAUAAAGAAUUGCCUUUUACUUUACCAACUCAAAGUUGAUAUGAAAGAGAAUAUGCCAAGAGUCUGUAAAAUACACACGGUGUCAUAGAAGGGAAAGAGGGAGAAUUUGCCUCUCUUUGGGACUCUGAGGAGGAAGGGAUGAAAACAUGUGGAGCAUACUUAGGAGCCAAGGAGGGGCUCAGCUUGCAGUAUCUGUCAGCUCAGGGAAUCAGCACUGCCUGAUUAGAACUCAGACCCUGUUGAGCAAACGCACAAGCUGGACAGCAGAUUCACACGGAGGAAGGCCCAUUUCUUUUGAAAAGAAAGUUGUUACUACCAAGUUCUUUCCUCUCUUUUUCUUCUCCUUCUUUUUUUGUUUUUGUGGGGUGAGGGGAGCAGUGUAAACUCUAGAGAGCCCCUAGGUCUUGCAUGGUGCUUUUCUAUCAUUUUCCAAAAUACAAAGGUAUCCUUGCCAUGCAGGCUUCCCCCUUCCUCAUUUAAGGUGAGGUUAUUGCUACUAAGAAAGGAACCCAGAGGCCUUGGUGCUCUCUUCUUCAGUUCCUUCUGGAACAUCAACCCUCUCUAGCUCUACAGAGUAGCCAGGGAACUUUCCUUCAUGUCCCACUUUUACCCUUCUCACUGAAGAGCAAGAUGUCACUUUGCCAUGUGUAAGUUUUCUUCUGGGCAAAGUUAGUGGUUUGAUCUCAGAGAAAAUUACUUUGUUAGGCCUCUGAUCCUCUGUAAAGCCCACUGUUCUUCACAGGAACCAGGGUAUAGCAUCACUGGUCCAGAUAAAUCAGUGCUUCAUUUUCUCUAUUGUAAGCUUUCCCAUUAAAAUUCUAUUUUUCAAAUACAAGACACACACACACACACACACACACACACACACACACACACACACGUUUGUAAGAAGAAUACAAUUUACAAGGCCUUACAUCAGACAGUCUAACGUUCUUUCACUGAGAUACUUUAGGCUCUUUCAGUCUUUGAGAUACAGUGAUGCUGGUUCUAUGAUGCUGAUAUUUGCUUUUGGACACGUAAAGCUGAGCUUUUAAAAUUUCAAUCAACAGCAUGACAACUGGUUCAUAGCAGUUACACUCCUAUGACUCUUUAAGCAGAUGUGCACAACAGCUCUUUCCAACCAUCAUCACCCUGGACAACCAAAGUUUAUGAUGUUACCGUAAUUCCCUGGAAGAGUUGAAUUCUGUUGUUGAUUAUACCCUAUAGAAAAGUCCUGCCUCUCUAUCCACUUUUACAAUUGAUUGACUCUUCUUUUCCAUAUCUGUUAAUUCUGUUCCCAGCCACAAGCUUUAAACGUCUCCACUAACUAAUCAUUAGCCCCUACCCUCCUGACCUUGCUCAUUGAGUUCACUCUUACUGAUGUAAUCACACAUGCUUAUCUGUAGUUACGUUCGUCAUGGUGCUUGUUAGAAUUACCAUCAUUCCUACUGUACCUCAGUUCAACCAAAUUAAAUGUGUUUGGACUUGGUCAUCUUUCAUUUCUUCAGAUGAUUUCAAGUAGAUAUGUUAUUUUACAUGAUCAAUAAAUAUCUUGUCAGUGAAAUGAUAUACUGAUAACAGGUUGCUAAUUAGGAGCAAAAUCUUAAAGACUAGAGGGAAUUUUGUAAAUUCAGAUACUGGCAUUUCACUGGCAUGCCACAAGUUCAAAAUUUCUUAAUGUUAACUUAGUCCUUCAGAGUAAUCUAUUAAAGCAAUAGAUAUAAUAUAUUAUAUAUAAUAGGUAUCUAUGUAUGCAAUGAGUUCCUUUUUAGAAGGAAUAUUAAAUCUGAUCCACACUGACCAUUCACUGACUUUCUGAUGUAGCCUAAAAUGUUCCUUUGCUUUAAAGCUUUUUUGGCUAGUAUAGUCUAAAGACUGUAGAGUGGCAGUGUCCUUCACAGACAAUGCACAUAUCUUUUAACUUUUGUUCGUUUUAUGGUCAUGGUGUGUGCAUAUAUAUAAAUAAAUGCACAAUAGUUUAGCUUCAGAAAUGUUUAUCCUAAACUCUAAAAACGUAGCUUAACUAGAACAUUGGAUAUCUGGCCUCUCCUCAUUGCUGUUUUGCUAUAAGGCUCUGAGUGCCGCCUUAUAAAACAUCUAUCCAUUUAUUUGCACGUUUAAUCUGAAGUGUAGAGUUUCAGGACUGGGAAUGGGUUGCAGGUUGUUCUCUCCUGGUUAUUUUUGGCUUUAAGAACAUUGAUCACUUUAUCAUUUUCUUGUGUUAAACUGCUUUAAACACAGCACAAAUGUUAUUCUCAUCAUGCCAGAAAUGGGUUUGGAAUUGAUUUUGAGUUUCCAUUAAUUUUACUCUUCCCUCUCUGUAAUAAGUUUUUUACUUGUUUCAAUUCCAAAAGAUACUUUUGUUCAAAAGAUGUGGGAGAACAAUACUUAGGGAGCCUCAGCUGGCCCAGGAAACUCAGAUGUUCUACUUUACAGAAGCGAAGUUACUGAAUUCACUAGCACGGACUUUGCUAAAAUUCGUGAAGACUCAUUCAUCUGAAUGCAGUUUCAAGGGCUUCCUCCCUCUUCUCUCCACAGAAGUGCUCAGCAAAGCAUGCAUCUUCUGAGAAGCCCGCCUGAUUGGUCCGGGUUGGCACUGUUUCAGUGUUUGGCCUACGGCGGCUGCUUAGGCAGAAUUUUGUCUCAUCUUCCUGUUUUCCUGGAGUGUAUCAAGCUCAGACACGUGGUUGCAAAGGAAACCCAAGUCCUUUAAAAAUGCUAUUUCUUCUGGUGGUAAGGCCAAUGCCAGUUCUAUUUUGGCCAAAUGAUCUUAUCAAGAUUUAACAAGAGAUACUCAGUAACACCUCCAGUCUAUGAGAAGACAGACCAAGGAAGAGAACUUAUUACAUCUUGCAUACAUAUAUUUCCCCUCCUGGUACCAGGGAAGGGUAAUGUUCAAACUUAUUAUUGGUACUGAAGAUAAUACAAACUGACAAGAAUGCUGUGGCAAUUACUCAUUUUGAUUAAUUUACGAAGAAAUAAACAAGUAUUUCUUUCUAUAUUAAAACAGACACUAGAGAUCUAUUUUCAGUCAUUGUAUUUUUGCUCCCAUAAAGGCACCUUACAGGUCUGCCUUACCAUCCACGGUGCUGUCACAAUUCAGAAUUUGUUGCAUUUCAGCCAGAUUCUCUAGACUAACUAGAUGAAACAAUUGCAUUACAGCAUUAAGAUUCCUUUGCGGAGUCAAAUGAAAGGGGAGCUGUACAGUUCAGAUAGCUUGAAAGGCUUGUCACGAACACAGGCAAACACUGCACAUGCUAUAUUUUUCCAGGUUUAUAGUCCCUCUAUGAAAACUGCUAGGUUUUCACUCCACACUUAGGAGUAUUAAGAACCACAGGGAGAAAUUUAGAUAGGUAAGCCACACUUCCCACCCUACCCUUACUGCUCCCCUGCAGUUCUGUGUUCCCUAACAAAUGCUCCAUGUCUUUAAAAAGGGCCAGGAAAUCUCUUCCUCCAACUCUACGGGCUUUGAUUUUAUGUGUGUAUCAUGACACACCUUAAAACAGAGAGUCCCACAGACUGCAGUGGGACGUUCAUUUAAAUCCAGACUUAGGGGGAAGAGCUCCAUCUACUGAAUCAGUUAGAUCACAGUGUGCACCCUAUAGUUAUCCCCUUCAUUACUUUAACACUUAGAAGCCCUGGAGAGAACAGACAAGUUACAGGCAUGACCAUCGAAACAACUAGUUGUGAGCCUAAUGCUCUUUUGGAUAUUUCCCAGAUGCCCUAAGCCCCCUUUCCUUUGUCCUUCCCAGUUUUCAAAGCUUUGUAUGCUUCAAUAUAAAACGAAAACAGGAUGUUUUGCUAUGUGAACCAUCUCUUGGAAGCAACAGAAAGCCAUUGGCAUUGAAGGAAAAGCCUUAGCUAGGUGAAGGGAAUAUGCAGGAAGAAAAACUGUCCCUGGCAGGUUGAAUAAACUAGGAAAAUGCAAAAACCCAGUAGCUUCCUUACUCCUCCUACCUUGUAUGAUUUCUGAGAAAGGCUACAGCCCCCUGGGCCGGCUCUCUGGGCUCUCCUUAGCUGCUGUGUUGCUGUGGCAUUGGGAAUGUGCUGUGGCUUCCUACGAUUAUAGGGAAAUGCUUCACAAGCCAAAAAAGUCACAAACAAAUUCAAAAUGAAAAAAAAAAAAGCAUAAAACAGCUGAUUUUAUUGGAAAAGGGUUGCUGAUGGUACAGCCUGGAUAAACAGACCCACGAGAUACAAGUUUUGAGUCACAAAUAAGUACGAGAAAUUUCAUCUUAGAGGGUAACUUGUUUGGAUAGUUCUAAAAGCUCACAAAUGAAAAAAAACCCUCCACCAUAACUGUAACAAACAGCUAAUGAAGAGCUCCAUUCUAGCAAGAAUCCAUCAGAACUGCAAGCUGGAGAGGGACAUUGCAGACCUGAGAGAGGACUACAUGGGGCCCCACUGGACGGACGGAGUUAUGGAGAUGCAGCUUUCUGGAAAUGGGAAGUGUCACCAUCAGGGACAGCAAGGACUGCGCUGGGGCAGCAGCAAGGACAGCGCAGCCACCCAGAACACCUGGUCCUGUCUGCAGUGGAGGCCAAGUCAGCAAGAGGACAAUCCACUGCUUUUGUCAUUUUCCUCUGCAAGGCUGGCUUAAGGGAAAAAAAAGCUUGCACAAAAGAUACAUGUGUUCCUUUUCUGGUAUUAUUACAGGCCCACCUAGAUUUAGCUUUCGAUUCUAGAUGAGAUCAGACAUGUUCAGACUAGCACAUCUUUGCUUUGUAAGCACUAAGCUUCCAGCAUUUUACUGGCAAAUUCGAGUAUCCCUAAAUUUAUGCACAAUAGAUGCCCCUAAAAAUCUGCAAAUCUUCGGUUUCAGUCAAAUUCCUCAUUGAGUUAAUUUUUUUCUCCAUUUACUCUACUAGUAAUAAGCCAGAAAGUUAAGGCAGGCAACUCAUAUAGGAAAGAAAAGUUGAAU